rnacentral:lncRNA from 1 species
UUAACUAAAUCCUAAUUAUAUGUAUUAGGAUUAGUCAGAUUUGAUUUAAAUUAAACUCCAAGUAUAUGUAUUGGAAUCCAACAAAUUAAUUUGAUCAGAUGGUUUGAUCAAUUCUAAAUAUAGGUUUAGAAUUUGAUCAAGUUUGAACAUGAUUGUGAUUUGACUCUAGUUUUAUAUGCUAGAGAAUCGACUAUUUUGGGAAUUGGGAUGUUCGUGAAAAUUGAACUUGAGUUUAGUUUAACGACAUUUCGGUCGAUAUCGGAUUCAGGUUUAGUUUAACGACGUUUCGGUCGAUUGAUUUGGUGGAUUAGUUUAACGACGUUUCGGUCGAAGGUUUGGGUUUGGUUCACAAGGUUUAUGGUAUUGCAUAUAUGGGAUUAUGGUUCAUGAACUUAGAUAUGGUUCAUAGGUUUAUGGUUCAUGGACUUAUGGUUCUUGGGUUUAUGGUUCAUGGACUUAUGGUUCUUGGGUUUAUGGUUCAUGGACUUGGUGUAUGGGUUGUGGUUUAUGAUCCUUGGCUCAUGAACUUGAUUUGAUUUAUGAACUUGAUUUAUAGUUCGUGGAUUUGGUGUAUGGUAUGGUCCACAGGAUUUGGUGUAUGGUUUGGUCCAUGGUUUUGGUUCAAAGUUCAUGGACUUGGUUAAGGUUAUGGGCUUGAAUAUGGGUUAAAUGUGUAUGGGUUCAUGGGUAAAUGUAUAUAGGUUUAUGUAUAUGGGUUUAUGGGUUAAUGGUUUAAUGGUUUUAAUGAGUUUUGGAUAAUGGGCUUAGGUAGUGGGCCUAAAUGGGUUUUGGA